GACGAACGCUGGCGGCGUGCUUAACACAUGCAAGUCGAACGGAAAGGCCCUGCUUUUGUUGGGUGCUCGAGUGCCGAACGGGUGGGUAACACGCGAGUAUCCUGUCCUUGACUUUCGGAUAACACCUGGAAACUGGGGCUAAUACCGCAUAUGAUCUCCUGCUGCAUGGUGGGGGUUGGAAAGUUUCGGCGGUUUGGGAUGUACUCGCGGCUUAUCCGCUUGUUGGGGGGGUAGUGGCUUACCAAGGUUUUGACGGGUAGCCGGCCUGGGAGGGUUACCGGGCCCAUUGGGACUGAGAGAGGGACCAGACGCGUACGGGAGGCAGCAGUGGGGAGUAUUGCGGAAUGGGCGGAAGCCUGAGGCAGCAACGCCCCGUGCGGGAUGACGGCCUUCGGGUUAUAAACCGCUUUCGCCUGUGACGAAGCGUGAGUGACGGUAAUGGGUAAAGAAGCACCGGCUAACUACGUG
rnacentral:rRNA from 1 species